UGGUAAAGCGCAGCUACAAGCCCCACUGGCCAGAUGAGCUGGCGCUGACCCGGGGGGAGUUCAUCCUGGUUCUGUGUAAAGAUGAUCAGGCCCGGUGGUUUGGGCGGCUGCAAAACGGACAGCAGGGAUACUUCCCGGCCUCGCAUGUUGUGGAGCUGAGCCACCAGGACGAUGAGCCAGCUAAAGACGUCCACCGCUUAGCGAGACGGGGUUCAGCUCCGGCCACGUAUGCAGGUGGUACUGGCGCACUCAGGCUGCAGGCCCUCCGCAGAGCCAGCAGAGCAGCGGCAGCAGGGGGGCCAGAGGGGGCCGAGGGGGAGAGAGAGGGCCCCAUCCUGAUACUGAAGUCCCAGAUCUCUCUCCCUAACAGGCUGCCCCAGCCCCUGCCCCAACCCCAGCCACAGGCACACAGCUCCCCAAGCUUCCUCCACAGGAUCCUAUCCAAGCACCGUCGGAGGAGUGAUUGUCAUGGGUCCAGCAACACGGGCUACAUGGCCGACUAAGAUGCUACGAUGGACGGUGGUGUGUGGGGAGAGAAACAGGCACAAGAGGGGAAUGGAGGGAGGAGAGAGGAGGAGAUUGGGUAUAGCGAAAAGUGACUACAUUUUGUGCCCACCCCCAAUGGGGCCAGGUAGGGUUGCCAUAGUUACAUCACUAAUGCUAGUCUAUGACUGAACUGCUGGCUGCAUCAUUGGAGAGCUGGAGUGAGGGUAACUACUUCCCUGCCUCCUCUGUAAAGUGUUUAAGAAAUAUCAAUGGUGUACCGUAUAUACAUUUUCCGGGAUUAAGAUGUGACAUUAAGCAAGUCGUAAAUUGAAGGGUUGAAUAGGGGGAUCAGAUUUAUGACUAUAUUUUAUGAAGCUAACUGUGUUUACUUCAGCCAAAUAAUGUUCCAUGAGUCUGCUUGAGCUUUCUGUUCCAUGAGUCUGCUUGAGCUUUCUGUUCCAUGAGUCUGCUUGAGCUUUCUGUUCCAUGAGUCUGCUUGAGCUUUCUGUUCCAUGAGUCUGCUUGAGCUUUCUGUUCCAUGAGUCUGCUUGAGCUUUCUGUUCCAUGAGUCUGCUUGAGCUUUCUGUUCCAUGAGUCUGCUUGAGCUUUCUGUUCCAUGAGUCUGCUUGAGCUUUCUGUUCCAUGAGUCUGCUUGAGCUUUCUGUUCCAUGAGUCUGCUUGAGCUUUCUGUUCCAUGAGUCUGCCUGAGCUUUCUGUUCCAUGAGUCUGCUUGAGCUUUCUGUUCCAUGAGUCUGCUUGAGCUUUCUGUUCCAUGAGUCUGCUUGAGCUUUCUGUUCCAUGAGUCUGCCUGAGCUUUCUGUUCCAUGAGUCUGCUUGAGCUUUCUGUUCCAUGAGUCUGCCUGAGCUUUCUGUUCCAUGAGUCUGCUUGAGCUUUCUGUUCCAUGAGUCUGCUUGAGCUUUCUGUUCCAUGAGUCUGCUUGAGCUUUCUGUUCCAUGAGUCUGCCUGAGCUUUCUGUUCCAUGAGUCUGCUUGAGCUUUCUGUUCCAUGAGUCUGCUUGAGCUUUCUGUUCCAUGAGUCUGCUUGAGCUUUCUGUUCCAUGAGUCUGCUUGAGCUUUCUGUUCCAUGAGUCUGCCUGAGCUUUCUGUUCCAUGAGUCUGCUUGAGCUUUCUGUUCCAUGAGUCUGCUUGAGCUUUCUGUUCCAUGAGUCUGCUUGAGCUUUCUGUUCCAUGAGUCUGCCUGAGCUUUCUGUUCCAUGAGUCUGCUUGAGCUUUCUGUUCCAUGAGUCUGCCUGAGCUUUCUGUUCCAUGAGUCUGCUUGAGCUUUCUGUUCCAUGAGUCUGCUUGAGCUUUCUGUUCCAUGAGUCUGCUUGAGCUUUCUGUUCCAUGAGUCUGCCUGAGCUUUCUGUUCCAUGAGUCUGCUUGAGCUUUCUGUUCCAUGAGUCUGCUUGAGCUUUCUGUUCCAUGAGUCUGCCUGAGCUUUCUGUUCCAUGAGUCUGCUUGAGCUUUCUGUUCCAUGAGUCUGCUUGAGCUUUCUGUUCCAUGAGUCUGCUUGAGCUUUCUGUUCCAUGAGUCUGCUUGAGCUUUCUGUUCCAUGAGUCUGCUUGAGCUUUCUGUUCCAUGAGUCUGCCUGAGCUUUCUGUUCCAUGAGUCUGCUUGAGCUUUCUGUUCCAUGAGUCUGCUUGAGCUUUCUGUUCCAUGAGUCUGCUUGAGCUUUCUGUUCCAUGAGUCUGCUUGAGCUUUCUGUUCCAUGAGUCUGCUUGAGCUUUCUGUUCCAUGAGUCUGCUUGAGCUUUCUGUUCCAUGAGUCUGCUUGAGCUUUCUGUUCCAUGAGUCUGCUUGAGCUUUCUGUUCCAUGAGUCUGCUUGAGCUUUCUGUUCCAUGAGUCUGCUUGAGCUUUCUGUUCCAUGAGUCUGCCUGAGCUUUCUGUUCCAUGUUGUCAUCCAUAUUAGGCUGUAUUCUCUGCAACUACGACGUUCCAGAGCAGCACUAAAUCAUUGAUAAAUUUCCUUUUGACUAUAAAUUGUUCAAUUUAAUUUGUGUUAAACCCAACAUCAGCCAAGAAUGUAUUUUUCAUAAAAAAUUAUCAAACCCGUACUUGCGGCUGAUAUCCCUUAAUUCUAGUUAGUAACAUAUUCCACUACAGCAUGUACCACGGCAAGAGUCUUCCAUUCAACGGAGCUGAAAAAAGCCCUGCGAAGUGAGAGGAUGUGUGAUUGAGGCGUGUUGAAAGGCACUGCCAAAGGAAAUGGCAUCAUUAUUGUGAAGGUUGCCCAGGCAAUGGUAAAACAGCUCUCUCUCUCUGGGCUCCACACAGUCUUCAGUGGUACCUCCCAGCAUGGCCACGACUGGAGUAUGCUGUAGAAUGUAUCCUUUGAAAGGGCAACGCUGUGGAAUGUAUCCUUUGGAAGAACUAAAGCUCCAACUCUCUAAUCCUAAUCCUAACCUUGACCUCUAUUAGAUUUAGACACCACAUCCACCAGCCCAGUGAUGUGUCCAUUGAUAAACUUAGAUCAGAUCUAUUCUAACAAGGACCAUAUCCCCGCCUGAUAUGUGAGAUUAUGGCACUAGCAAGCAGUAAUGCGAACUACGGGGAAUGCUGGUUAAAAAGGUAAGCGUUUAAAAAAAACACCAAAGCCAAAAGCCGUCCUGUAAUUGAUGACUAGUUGCAUGGUCAGUCUGAACCUCCUGUGUUGUUGAGAUGGAAGCAGAAAUAGUGUCUGAACAGUUUUCCAACAUCUUGGUGUUCCCUCGCACAUCUUCCUGAUUUCUUAGUAUGUGAUAUAGGAUGUUUGAUGCUGGAGGCCUGGCCGCCACAGCCAUCUGCUGAGAAAGGCUUAGCGCCUCUGAGAGUGGAGCAGCUUUCCCCCUCUGACUGGCCUCUCCUCUCUCUACUCUCCUUCAUCCAUUCAUUCAUUCAAUCAGUGCUUUAAUUAUCUCUAAUCCAGGGUCAAACUCUGCCUCUCUCUAACUCCUGGAAUAAAGCCUUGCUAUGUGGAUUAUUGUGGUUGACAUCCAGUGGGGACAGUGACAGCUACACACAGAGUGACAGAGGCCCUACUCUCAUAGAGGCUAGAGGCCCAGAGGGCUGGUGUGUGUGUAGAGGGGGGGUGUUCACCUGCCUGACACCUGUUCUUUCCCCUCCUCACCUGUGGAGCAGCAGAUGCUAUGCAGGAGAGUGCUGAGCCCUGCCCCACCCCCAGUGAACACAGUCUGUACCCCUCAUACACUGUCUUCCAUGCCCAUUCAACCAGGAAACCUUGAUAAAACACACACACACACACACACACUCACACACACACACCUCAGAUACACCCAGAAAGAAACGCAAACCACACAGACCAACUCAGUCCAAUGUAUUGUAUCACCCCUCAUUGUGAAUCUGUUGUUUGUUGCUAAAAGUGUAGUCAGGCAGCAGGCUCCUCUAGUAUACCAGUUAGGUACCGCUGUUCAUUAGUGAGCCUGUUUAACCUCACAGCACUAACAUACACAGGGGAACUGGAGACCUAGGACCUAUUUACAGCAGAAAGGGACCAAAACACACACACACACAAUUUGGUUUUCCCGCCUAAAGUGUCUCAUCCCCUCAGUGGUGCUGUGUGUUCAGCAGGACACCAACAGGGUGCCUGCCAGAUGACUGCCCUGUCAGUGCUAUAAUGGCUGCCAUCUGCUGUCUGGCAUACACAAAGGCUGGCAGUGGCAGUAUGUGUGUGUGUGUGUGUGUGUGUGUGUGUGUGUGUGGGGGGGGGGGAUACAGGAGGGGGAGGGACCCUCUCUGAAGAGCACUAUUCACACAGCAAAGUUUGAGCACUGUACAACAUAAUGACUUGAAACAGUAUAUAUAUUUGAAGUAAAACAUACUUGUCUAAAAUCACUAAAUGCUUUACCCAUUGAUUGAUGUGCUACAGUACUACGAAAUAGAUUCCUGUCAAUACACCGUAUAGUACACGCGUCUGUAUAGUACACAUGUCUGUACUGAUACCCAACAGGUGCAUGUGUGGCCAAGCUGAGUCAAUAAGGAGUGCCCUGUGCAGGACCAAAACAAUACACUCAGUAAACACAAGGCUUUACAGGCUGAUGCCAACAACCAAUUAAGAGGCAGUAAGCCUUUGACAUGUCUCAAGCCAGUCCAGACCAUCUGAAAGCAACAAUAGCUCAAGUCCUGCCCAGACAAGAAACAGAUUGAUCUAGUGGAUAUUUGCGUGUGCGUUUGUCUGUACUGUUGAUGCUGCCCCAGCAGAAGGCAAGUCGCCAGGCCUUGUGCCCCUCCUCUUGGGGGCAAUUGAGUGAAUGGGUCUGUAAAAGCAACAGGCCCUGGGGACAAUAGCGCCCGGGGGCAUUAAGUCACGGGUGACUGGGCGUCUUUAGGGCCAGCAGCUGACCCUGUGGAGAGGCCUCUUGUCCUGCCGGAGGGGGACUCGUGUCACAGACCCCAGGCCAAGCUGACAGCACACUGCCACACACACACGGAAGGGGGAUUGUGUCCAUGGUGAACCCAGGCCAAGCUGACACACACCACAGGCAACAUAUACACAGAUACUGUUAAUCUACUGCCAUAAGGACCUGACAGGACUGGACAGGGAACAGAAGAGUCCUUCCACUGGAGGGAACAGGGAUAGAAGAAGGUAUUUGGAUGAGGUUUAACGUGAAUAAGACUGCAGUGUUAAAGAGAGGUGCACUAAGAUCAUACCAUCAUAUUGCUGUUACACAUAACACAAUGACAAAGAACCACAAACGCAAUGCAAUAACAUUUUAUUAUUAUUACAUAUUAUAGUACAUGGUUACAAUGGCAGUUGGCGGGAAUUCUAUGGUACCUGGUUAUGAUUUCAGCAGAAAAUACAGUAAACUUUGAAAAUGACAUAAUGGAAGUGUUACGUCUGUGAUUAUUGUAGUUGUAAUAAAAACACGAUCACUGAAAAGUUCAACGUAUUGCUUAUUGUUCAUGCAUGAUUAUGACAACAACUGCUACUAUAAAUAUACUCAAUUCCCUUAUAACCUAGGGUUAGAUGUCCAAGUGUUACGUAUAAACAUGUUACAAACAAAACAUACUGAAGUCAAACCAACCGACAGAACAGAGAACAACCAUAUAUCCAUAUUUACUGUAGCUGUUAGAUGUCGGAAAAUAAGAACGUUCAGAAAGUGUGGUUCUGUGGAGUUCAGAGAGGGUGAACAUACAUGAUCUUUCCACUUGAUCUCUCCUGAGGAGAUUCCCUUCUUAUUCUCAAACACACUUAAUGCUGGAUCCCCAUUAUAAUCUAGAUUCUAAACAGCUGGAAGACAGUCGGAACAAAUGACACCCACCAUCACCACAGGGACCAUAGAUACUGUGCUGCAUCCCUAUUAUAGAGGCAACCAAUCAGAGCCAUAGAAGACCGCAUUGUCACAUAAAGACGUAAAAGCUUCAUCUUUCAUUGUAUGUUGAAUAUCUUGUGUUGUACUUGUAAUUAUUACUUAUAAACAAUGGAUUUUAAACAGCUCUGUCUUUACAUCUGUAUGUCAGUGUUUAAUAGUCACAUGUCGUGACACAUUCAUCCAAUGGCACUAGAUUUAAAUAAAUGAAACAAACAAAACACACAACAAACAAAUGAACAAAACACUUAAACGAUGAGAAAAGUGCAAUUUGUCUAUUAGAGGUUGGAGACGGAAUCCUGCUACUACCUAUGGAGAAUACAAAGAGACUCUGAUUCCAGGGGAAACUGUUCUACCAAUAUCAACAACUCGGUGAUGUCACUAUACAAUGGUCAUUAACUCAAUCGGAUAGUUAAAACAAUGACUGAAUGAAAGAGAUUAGUGGUAGUGCAUGUUCGCUUG